rnacentral:rRNA from 1 species
AUGGAUUGGAACCCCCAGGUGCUUUUUUGGAACGUGAGGGGGCUUAACAACAUGUCUAAAAGGAAUGCGGUGAGGGAUUUCGUUCAUGAUGCUAGAGUCAAUUUGGUGUGUCUUCAAGAGACAAAACUUGAUGCAAUAGACACCUAUGUGGUAAUGCAAUGUAUAGGGCCAUCUUUUGAUGGUUUUGCUUAUCUGCCGGCUUCAGAGACUAGGGGCGGAAUUCUUGUGGGAUGGGAUAGAUCUAUCUUGGAGAUUAACAACAUUACUAUGGAUAGUUACUCCCUCACGGGUCAUGUGCAAAAUAAAGAUGGAUGGGAAUGGUGGCUCACGGUGGUUUACAGACCACAAGGUGAUGAGAUCAAGACGCACUUCCUGAUGGAGCUUCAGAUGAGGGGGGUUUGUGCCCGGGCCCUUGGAUGGUGUUAG